rnacentral:lncRNA from 1 species
AAGAUAAUUACUUGGUAUCGGACCACAAUGCAACUCACGUCUACCUCCUACAGAGAAUCACACAUCGCACGAAAAACAAAGCCCACUAAAUGGAUCUACAAUGGAGGAGACCCGCGCUAACUCACACCCUCUCUCACAAUGCGUCUCUCUGUCUUGCCAUCUCAAUCUGCAGCCUCACAGCAAUCUGCUCGGGUCAAGCCCAAACAACACACGCGGACGUGAAAAUCUAAGCACCCCGAGCCAGUCCCUUUUAUAUAUCAAGACGAGGAUUGGUUCGACUCCUACAGAAUACUUAAUCAUUUAUCCUAUCUAACUAGGAAAACGGAAAAAGAUAAACACUCUCCAAAGUUCUAGAUAACUCCAGAGUUUCACCGUCACAUGGACACUCCAUAUGAAGUCCAAUCGGGUUUGGGCUUGGCUAUUGGGCUUGAACUCAUCCAAGUGGGUUUGGACUCAUUCAGAUGGGCUGGACUCAUCACAGACAUGAACUACGAAAAUUGUUGAAGUCAGCAAUUAACUUUGUCCUAUUGCCCCAUUUUACUCUUAUGUAUUAUGUGAAGGCAUUUAUACCCUUCAUAUACAUUUCUUAAAAGACAAAAACAACCUCUUUCCUAACCCCCUCCCUCUCAGUGAAAAAAAACAUAUCGGCUCAUUUGAUAACAAAAUAAAUUAAAUUUUUUAUUUUUAAUUUCUUAUCUCAUUCUUAAAAUGAUUGGCAUACGCCGUAUCAAAUCAAGCAUUUAAUUAAAUUUGUUUUCAAAUCUAAUAAAAAGAACCUAGAACGAGAUGUAGAACCAUACCUAAAUUCUGGUAAAUUCGCUGAUCCGAUAACUUCAUGAAGGGUGGUGCUAUUGAGGAUCGUUUCUUAUAUUCAGCUUCAUCUUCUUCGCCUUCACUGCUAUCUUCUUCCCUUCCAUCUCUGUUGACUGCGUGGCAGAUUCCCGUAUGAGCAAAUCUAGAUCUACUUUGUUUUUGUGAUUGGAUUAGGUUACAUUUGAUCCCUUCAUAGUGUGUAGAUAAUGCAAUUAACGCAGUAUGUCCUAAAAUGGAAGAUAUGACCUGUUAAUAUGCCAAAAAAGAAAAGAUAAAAGACAGUCUAUUUUGUACUGUAUUCGCAUGUGGUAGGGCUCACAAAAAUGCACGUCUCAUCACAUGUGAGUAUGUAUUGUCCAUGCACUACACAAAAUGCACUAUUCCUAGCAUUAAUAUGCCAAUUUAUUGUUAAAUCUUUUACACUAAUUCUAGAUUGAAGACAUUUUGGAAAGAAAAUAUUUUCUGUUUAUGUUGUUUAUUUUCUUAUAUGGUCAAUCCAAUAACUUUAAAAACAACCUUCAAUUCUUAUCUAACUAUUUUAUCCUUUUAUAAAAUAUUUAAUCAAAAACCAAAAUUUUGAAUUAGCCACAGGAUUGAACUAAUUAAUUAAACUUUUGACAAUUUUCAUUUCUCUAAAGUAAUUAUAAAUAUUGAAAGAAAAAGAUACACGUCAUAGUAUAAAUGAUGCAAUUAACGAAAUGGUGUUUCCUAAAAGAGAAUCCACAAGCUAUUAAGAUGCUUCCUUAUUGUUAAAUUUUUGUUAAGUAUUGAACAUUUUGCUUUUGGGGAUUUUUUUCUCAGAUAUCAAUAAUUCAUCAAGCUCUAUAAGACAAUUAUUCUUGCUAGGUUUCAUUUUAUCUUGUGGGUAUAUGGAAACAAGCCUAUUCUAUUCUAUGAUUUGUUUAUGAGCUUUUAUCUCUUAUAACAAGGUAAAAGUUAAAACUUUUGCUCAGAUUCUGCCCUCAAGGAUUUCUGAAACCAUAACUUCCCUAUCUAUUCAAUUGGGUGGUUUUGUUGCUAGUUUAUUUUCUCAAACGUUGAAUCCAAUAAUCGAAACCACGGUUAUUGAGUUAUUCUGAUGGAGCAUUUCUGUUGGGUUCUAGGAGCACUGCUUAAGUAGAAAAAAGGAUGGAAAGAUCAUACCUGAAGUUUUUUCAGUUUGUAUAUCGCCUAUCUGAUAAUAUUGUCUACUGAUGCACUGAAGGUCUUUGUCAUCAUCGUCUACCUCUUCACCACCAGCUAUUUCAAGACCGUAGAAUCUAAGGCUUGUACGCGCUGGUAAAUCAAGAGCCUUUAUCAAGGAAUUAAAUGUAGAAUCCAGCAUGCCACCGAAACUAGAAAGGCCAAUCAUUCAAUGAGCAAACUGCAAUGAAUGAACAAAUAAACGGUAAAAAAAUGCUACAAGCGUAUAAGUAAUUCAAUGACCAAAACUGUGACCAAAAGAUAUGGUAAAGAUCAUCGUAUGGUAAGGAAGGUUUGCUAACAAAUACGAUUGACAUGGGAUUUUUAAUCAUUACGCUCCUAUAGGAUCCUCUGUUCAAAAUUCGAAACAUUUCUAUUAACAACUAAAACGCAUAGAAAUGAGGCAGACAUGCUCUUUACUUUAUCUGAAUGAGAUAAAAAAAAUGACAACAUCGUUUAUGUAUUUCAUCAACAGAGCAAGGUGCUCGAAUGAGCAUAUGGUACAUCCAUUUCCAUCAAGGAAGAAUUUUCUGAUAAGUGAUAAGCACAGCCCUCGAAUUGUUAUAUCAUUAUUGUUUCUCAUUGUUCACCUGAAAGGUAAAUGGUCCUUCUAUCUGAGGAGUUCAACUCUCCAACUUCAUCAGCGAUUUUCGUUACAUAAAUUUCUAAUUUACAUCGAAAGGUGUGACCUUAAGGUCCUCAUGGAGAGGUCAUCUAUGGUAUCUUUAAAAGGCGAUUUAAAGUAUCAUGUAUAUUCGUACAAAACCCAAUUCAGAUUAAAGGAAAUAAUGAUUAAACACAUUUCCUCACUCUUGAAUGCUGAUUGCUAAAAGUUACCAGCGUAACUAACACCAAAAAUAGCUCGGACUUCAUGUGAUUCGUUUUUAUUCAUUACAUUCUUGAUGGAGAAAGCUCACUGCUUAUACUUUACAGCCUUAGAGUUUACCAAAUCUCCAGGUAUCUUUCCUCCUGCAAAAUGAAACUUG